rnacentral:rRNA from 1 species
GACGAACGCUGGCGGCGUGCUUAACACAUGCAAGUCGAACGGAAAGGCCCUGCUUUUGUGGGGUGCUCGAGUGGCGAAGGGGUGAGUAAAACGUGAGUAACCUGCCCUUGAAUUUGGGAUAACUUCAGGAAACUGGGGCUAAUAUCGGAUAGGAGCUCCUGCUGCAUGGUGGGGGUUGGAAAGUUUCGGCGGUUGGGGAUGGACUCGAGGCUUAUCAGCCUGUUGGUGGAGUAGUGGCUGACAAAGGCUUUGACGGGUAGGCGACCUGAGAGGGUGACCGGCCACCUUGCGACUACGAGAGGCCGCAGUCUCCUACGUUACGCAACAGUGGAGAAUCUUGCACAACAGGCGGAAGUCUGUUGCAGCAGCGCCCGGUGCGUAAUACCCUCCUUCGAGUGAUAAACCGCUUUCUCAUUUGCCAAACCGUUAUUGGCGGUAAUGGGUCAAGAAGCCACGGCUAACUACGUG